UCAGGACGAACGCUGGCGGCGUGCUUAACACAUGCAAGUCGAACGGUGACGCACCUUCGGGUGCUGAUCAGUGGCGAACGGGUGAGUAACACGUGGGCAACCUGCCCCUGACUCUGGGAUAACUCCUCGAAAGAGGUGCUAAUACCGGAUACCAUCCCCCUCGACAUCGUGGGGGGUUGAAAGUUUUUCGGUCAGGGAUGGGCCCGCGGCCUAUCAGCUAGUUGGUGGGGUAACGGCCCACCAAGGCGACGACGGGUAGCCGGCCUGAGAGGGCGACCGGCCACACUGGGACUGAGACACGGCCCAGACUCCUACGGGAGGCAGCAGUGGGGAAUAUUGCGCAAUGGGCGAAAGCCUGACGCAGCAACGCCGCGUGAGGGAUGACGGCCUUCGGGUUGUAAACCUCUUUCAGCAGGGACGAAGCGAAAGUGACUGUACCUGCAGAAGAAGCGCCGGCUAACUACGUGCCAGCAGCCGCGGUAAUACGUAGGGCGCAAGCGUUGUCCGGAUUUAUUGGGCGUAAAGAGCUCGUAGGCGGUCUGUCGCGUCGGAUGUGAAAACCCGGAGCUCAACUCCGGGCCUGCAUUCGAUACGGGCAGACUUGAGUACUGCAGGGGAGACUGGAAUUCCUGGUGUAGCGGUGGAAUGCACAGAUAUCAGGAGGAACACCGGUGGCGAAGGCGGGUCUCUGGGCAGAAACUGACGCUGAGGAGCGAAAGCGUGGGGAGCGAACAGGAUUAGAUACCCUGGUAGUCCACGCCGUAAACGGUGGGCACUAGGUGUGGGGACCAUUCCACGGUCUCUGCGCCGCAGCUAACGCAUUAAGUGCCCCGCCUGGGGAGUACGGCCGCAAGGCUAAAACUCAAAUGAAUUGACGG
rnacentral:rRNA from 1 species